GAUGAGGAACGCAGCGAAAUGCGAUAAGUAAUGUGAAUUGCAGAAUUCAGUGAAUCAUCGAAUCUUUGAACGCACAUUGCGCCCCCUGGUAUUCCGGGGGGCAUGCCUGUCCGAGCGUCAUUACAACCCUCAAGCUCAGCUUGGUGUUGGGCCCCGCCGCCCCGGCGGGCCCUAAAGUCAGUGGCGGUGCCGUCCGGCUCCGAGCGUAGUAAUUCUUCUCGCUCUGGAGGUCCGGUCGUGUGCUCGCCAGCAACCCCCAAUUUUUUUCAGGUUGACCUCGGAUCAGGUAGGGAUACCCGCUGAACUUAAGCAUAUCAAUAAGCGGAGGA
rnacentral:misc_RNA from 1 species